AAUGACGCACGAGCUCACAAUGAAACAACACAGCGAAGAAGAAUCCUCUCAUAAGAAAAAGGUAAUAGCUCUCGAAUCUACUUCUUCUAACAAGGAUUUAUCUUGCAGUAGCAGCAGUGAAGAAGAAGAUCAUGAGGGAGAUGAUGAUGAGGCUCUUCUCGUACGUAAGUUCAGAAAAUUCAUCAACCGAAAGAAGUCCUUUCAUCAAAGGAGAGGUCCCUCAAGU
rnacentral:lncRNA from 1 species